rfam:Felis catus isolate Cinnamon breed Abyssinian chromosome C1, whole genome shotgun sequence.
ACCUGGGUGGCUCAGUUGGUUGAGCAUCUGACUUCAGCUCAGGUCAUGAUCUCACAUUUGUGGGUUCCAGCCCCACAUCGGGCU